rnacentral:rRNA from 1 species
UGUUUUUUAAAAACAUAGCCUUAGGAAAAUGAUCUAAGGUUAGACCUGCCCAAUGUUCAGUAUUUAUAUAAGAUAUCAAUGGCCGCGGUACUUUGACCGUGCUAAGGUAGCGUAAUCAGUUGGCUUUUAAAUGAAGUCAGGUAUGAAUGGAUUUACGGAAUUUAGCUGUCUCUAACCUAAUUUAUAGAAAUUACUGUGGAAGUGAAAAAGCUUUCAGAAAGAAAAAAGACGAGAAGACCCUAAGAGUUUUAUUUAAUGUAGAAAUAAAUCUCUAUAAUGAUUUUGUUGGGGCAACAUAAGAACAAAUUUAAUUUAACUUCUUAAAACUUAUAAACCGAUUCUUUAUAUAAAUGGACAAACUACCUUAGGGAUAACAGCAUAAUUUAAUAAAUAAGUUUGUGACCUCGAUGUUGGAUUAGGAAACUAAAUGGCUAGCCGCUUUUUAGAAGGGUUCUGUUCGAACUAUAAAUCCUACAUG